GAUGAACGCUAGCGGCAGGCCUAACACAUGCAAGUCGAGGGAGAAGCCCUUUCGGGGGCAGAAACCGGCGCACGGGUGCGUAACGCGUAUGCAACCUACCUUUCACAGGGGGAUAGCCCGAAGAAAUUUGGAUUAAUACCCCAUAAUAUUAUUGGAUGGCAUCAUUUGAUAAUUAAAACUGCGGUGGUGAAAGAUGGGCAUGCGUCCUAUUAGCUAGUUGGAGUGGUAACGGCACCCCAAGGCUACGAUAGGUAGGGGUCCUGAGAGGGAGAUCCCCCACACUGGUACUGGGACAGGGACCAGACUCCUACGGGAGGCAGCAGUGGGGAAUAUUGGUCAAUGGUCGGAAGACUGAACCAGCCAUGCCGCGUGCAGGAAGAAUGCCUUAUGGGUUGUAACCUGCUUUUAUAUGGGAAGAAUAAGGCGUACGUGUACGUUGAUGACGGUACCAUAUGAAUAAGCAUCGGCUAACUCCGUG
rnacentral:rRNA from 1 species